rnacentral:rRNA from 1 species
AGAGUUUGAUCAUGGCUCAGGACGAACGCUGGCGGCGUGCCUAAUACAUGCAAGUCGAGCGAAGUUUUUCUGGUGCUUGCACUAGAAAAACUUAGCGGCGAACGGGUGAGUAACACGUAAAGAACCUGCCUCAUAGACUGGGACAACUAUUGGAAACGAUAGCUAAUACCGGAUAACAGCACUAACUGCAUGGUUGAUGUUUAAAAGUUGGUUAUGCUAACACUACGAGAUGGCUUUGCGGUGCAUUAGCUAGUUGGUGGGGUAAAGGCCCACCAAGGCGACGAUGCAUAGCCGACCUGAGAGGGUGAUCGGCCACACUGGGACUGAGACACGGCCCAGACUCCUACGGGAGGCAGCAGUAGGGAAUCUUCCGCAAUGGGCGAAAGCCUGACGGAGCAACGCCGCGUGAGUGAAGAAGGAUUUCGGUUCGUAAAGCUCUGUUGUUAGGGAAGAAUGGAUAUGUAGUAACUAUACAUAUAAGAGACGGUACCUAACCAGAAAGCCACGGCUAACUACGUGCCAGCAGCCGCGGUAAUACGUAGGUGGCAAGCGUUGUCCGGAAUUAUUGGGCGUAAAGCGCGCGCAGGUGGUUUAAUAAGUCUGAUGUGAAAGCCCACGGCUCAACCGUGGAGGGUCAUUGGAAACUGUUAAACUUGAGUGCAGGAGAGAAAAGUGGAAUUCCUAGUGUAGCGGUGAAAUGCGUAGAGAUUAGGAGGAACACCAGUGGCGAAGGCGGCUUUUGGCCUGUAACUGACACUGAGGCGCGAAAGCGUGGGGAGCAAACAGGAUUAGAUACCCUGGUAGUCCACGCCAUAAACGAUGAGUGCUAAGUGUUGGUCUCAUAAGAGAUCAGUGCUGCAGCUAACGCAUUAAGCACUCCGCCUGGGGAGUACGACCGCAAGGUUGAAACUCAAAGGAAUUGACAGGGACCCGCACAAGCGGUGGAGCAUGUGGUUUAAUUCGAAGCAACGCGAAGAACCUUACCAAGUCUUGACAUACUGUGAGGACACAAGAGAUUGUGUUGUUUUAACCUUUGGUUAGACACAGAUACAGGUGGUGCAUGGUUGUCGUCAGCUCGUGUCGUGAGAUGUUGGGUUAAGUCCCGCAACGAGCGCAACCCUUAUAUCUAGUUGCCAGCAGUAAGAUGGGGACUCUAGAUAGACUGCCAGUGAUAAACUGGAGGAAGGUGGGGAUGACGUCAAAUCAUCAUGCCCCUUAUGACUUGGGCUACACACGUGCUACAAUGGAUAGGAACAAAGAGAAGCGAGCUCGCGAGAGUCAGCCAACCUCAUAAAACUAUUCUCAGUUCGGAUUGUAGUCUGCAACUCGACUACAUGAAGCUGGAAUCGCUAGUAAUCGCGAAUCAGAAUGUCGCGGUGAAUACGUUCCCGGGUCUUGUACACACCGCCCGUCACACCACGAGAGUUUGUAACACCCGAAGACGGUGGCCUAACCUUUUAGGAGGGAGCCGGUCACGGUGGGACAGAUGAUUGGGGUGAAGUCGUAACAAGGUAACCGU